rnacentral:tRNA from 1 species
GCCACCGUGGGACAACUUGGUACUCCGCGGGAUUGGAAAUCCCGUUCCCGCAAGGGUUUCCCGGUUCAAAUCCGGGCGGUGGCG